rnacentral:lncRNA from 1 species
ACUUUGUUUUCGCUAACGUGACUCUCAGGCCCGAAGUGGUGACACGAACCCUCCCGGGGCUGCCCCGGCCGCCCCCAGCCCAGCCCUGCGGUGGGUUGGUGCCGCGGCCCACCCCCAGCCCCUCCACACAGGCGCCCAUCCUCGCUUCAGGGAUCUUCCCCCCCUCCUCAGGCUUCCUGCUGAAGUUGAAAAGAGAGUGGCUUCUCCAGCUGUAGAAGACUCCACACACUUGCUUCAUAUGGUAACCUCAAGCCAAGGAGACAUGUAUCAUUCACAGCCAAGAGUGCCAUUUGUCUGCUCCUACAUCCAAGACAAUGAAAAUCCUGACACUGGGAUGCUACCACUUGUUUAUUUCUUAUUCCACACCAGUACCAGGUAGCGCAUCCCCUGGGGAAGGUGAAGUCGUCAGGUUUGCGAUCUCUUACUCCGCGUUGACGACAGCCACUUGCUUUGUUCUCUCCUUUUAAAAAUGUGUUAAUUUUCUUCUGUUCUGUUCUACCAAAGCUGGUUCAGACCUCCAGAGCCAGCAGAACGAGACCCGCAGCUCGGCAGGAGAAGGAGGUGCCUGUGCUGUAGGUGGCACUCUUUGAUCCAACUCAGCUGGAGACCAAGGGCUGGCCUCUGUUAGCCAUCACACUGCAGUUGGAGGUGCUGUCUUCCCACGGAGACAUAAAACAGAGGUUCAGGCAAAUUGCCAUCAUUAAAAAUGCCACGGCACUUUCCCUGCAACAGUAGGAGUGUUACCUCCAGCGCUCAAGCCAAAUUUUAAUUCGAGUAAUUUACAUGCUACUUACCUAGAAUUCUCCCGGUGGUUUCAGCUAGAUAAGGCAAUUUGAGUUUUCCUGGUGGCUGCCAUGUUCUGCGGUGCUGCUUUGUGUUGUUACACAGCUGUUGCAUUUCACCUCGAGGUGGCUGUACAGCAGCUGUUGACAAAGUGAUUCUACAUUUACAACAUGUGUAAGUGUGUUGGUGAAGUUUGUAAAGCAUGUUGAGGGCUUUCUGGAUUAAACGCAAGACGCGCAUGCAAAUGUGUUGUAAUUACCAUUAAGCACAUCUUCCUCCAAAGAACCGUUAGCCUUAAUGGGAGCUGCAAACAUGCAUCUGAAAAGGGUUCUUAAUUCUCUCAAGGCAUAAUAGCCACAUCAGUAAAAGAUGUGUUAAUAGAAAAUGGCUCUAUUCAUGUGGACUUAUCAAAGAAAAGCUUCGACUAUUUCGCUCUGUACAGCAAACUUCAAAGAGGUCCUCAUUCAUUCACGUACCACAAACCAGCCUCGCUGAGGAUGGACGCUGAGUAAACACUGAAAGGGAGAAAAUAAGAUAAGGCGCAUGGGAGGUUUUACAAAGAGAGAACACAUUUCGCUCUUCCCACUGCCCUACAU